rnacentral:lncRNA from 1 species
CAGGUAGAGAGGAAAGGUGUUAAUAUCAGGAGCAGGUAGAGAGGAAAGGUGGUGAUAUCAGGAGCAGGUAGAGAGGAAAGGUGUUAAUAUCAGGAGCAGGUAGAGAGGAAAGGUGGUGAUAUCAGGAGCAGGUAGAGAGGAAAGGUGGUGAUAUCAGGAGCAGGAAGAGAGGAAAGGUGGUAAUAUCAGGAGCAGGUAGAGAGGAAAGGUGGUGAUAUCAGGAGCAGGUAGAGAGGAAAGGUGGUGAUAUCAAGAGCAGGUAGAGAGGAAAGGUGGUAAUAUCAGGAGCAGGUAGAGAGGAAAGGUGGUGAUAUCAGGAGCAGGUAGAGAGGAAAGGUGGUGAUAUCAGGAGCAGGUAGAGAGGAACGGUGGUGAUAUCAGGAGCAGGUAGAGAGGAAAGGUGGUGAUAUCAGGAGCAGGUAGAGAGGAAAGGUGGUGAUAUCAGGAGCAGGUAGAGA